GAGUUUGAUCGUGGCUCAGCACGAACGCUGGCGGCGUGCUUAACACAUGCAAGUCGAACGGUAAGGCUCCAGCUUGCUGGGGUACACGAGUGGCGAACGGGUGAGUAACACGUGGGUGACCUGCCCUGCACUUCGGGGAUAAGCCUGGGAAACUGGGUCUAAUACCGGAUAGGACCGCACCGUGAGGGUGUGGUGGAAAGUUUUUUCGGUGUGGGAUGGGCCCGCGGCCUAUCAGCUUGUUGGUGGGGUAAUGGCCUACCAAGGCGGCGACGGGUAGCCGGCCUGAGAGGGUGGACGGCCACAUUGGGACUGAGACACGGCCCAGACUCCUACGGGAGGCAGCAGUGGGGAAUAUUGCACAAUGGGCGGAAGCCUGAUGCAGCGACGCCGCGUGGGGGAUGACGGCCUCGGUUGUAAC
rnacentral:rRNA from 1 species